rnacentral:rRNA from 1 species
AUCAAAUGAGAAUACCGGCUGAACUUAAGCAUAUCACUAAGCCGAGGAAAAGAAACUAACAAGGAUACCCUAAGUAACGGCGAGUGAACCGGGUAAUGCUCAAUCUUAAAAUCUGUGUCUCUCAUGAGGCAUCGAAUUGUAGUUUUUUGAUAAUCAUCCCCUCUUCUUUUAAUAUAAUUAAAGUCUCUUGGAAUAGAGUGUCAUAGAAGGUGAGAACCCUGUGAAUAGUUAUGUUAGAAGGAGGAUAUUGAGUUUGAUUAUCAUAGAGUCGGGUUGUUUGGGAAUGCAGCCUAAAAAGGGUGGUAAAUCUCAUCUAAAGCUAAAUAUUUGGUAAGAGACCGAUAGAAAACAAGUACCGUGAGGGAAAGAUGAAAAGAACUUUGAAAAGAAGAGUUAAAAGUACUUGAAAUUGUUAACUGGGAACCGCUUAAAUCUAAUCUCUUAAUUUUAUUAAAUCAUCUUCUUUAAGGCUGGAUCACAUUAAAUAGAUGUAACUUAGUUACUCUAUGAGUGGG